rnacentral:lncRNA from 1 species
CGGUGCCUUGACUGCUCACAAUAAAGUUGCUAUAGUUUGACUAUAUAUAAACAUAGUCUCUAGCCAUAUGGAUCCUUGUAGUGGAUGUUGGCUGUAGUGGAUUCACUGUAGGAGUAGGAGUACACUUAUAGAGAUCUAUCAAUCUUAGUACUUGAAGAGUAGUCCUAUGUGACCUAAGAGACUGAGUCCAUAAGUUUGUGACCACAAUAGUGUGAUUAUAGAA